AGUGAACGCUGGCGGUAGGCCUAACACAUGCAAGUCGAACGGCCACACAGUAAGCGCUUUCUCUUACGGGUGGCGAGUGGCGGACGGGUGAGGAAUACAUCGGCAUCUACUUUUUCGUGGGGGAUAACGUAGGGAAGCUUACGCUAAUACCGCAUACGACCUACGGGUGAAAGCAGGGGAGCUUCGGACCUUGCGCGAUUGAAUGAGCCGAUGUCGGAUUAGCUAGUUGGCUGGGUAAAGGCACACCAAGGCGACGAUCCGUAGCUGAUCUGAGAGGAUGAUCGGCCACACUGGAACUGAGACACGGUCCAGACUCCUACGGGAGGCAGCAGUAGGGAAUCUUGGGCAAUGGGCGCAAGCCUGAUCCAGCCAUGCCGCGUGGGUGAAGAAGGCCUUCGGGUUGUAAAGCCCUGUUGUUAGGAAAGAAAAGCAGCAGGUUAAUACCUCGCUGUUCUGACGGUACCCAAAGAGUAAGCACCGGCUAACUUCGUG
rnacentral:rRNA from 1 species